rnacentral:rRNA from 1 species
AUGAACGCUGGCGGCGUGCCUAAUACAUCCAAGUCGAGCGAACGGACGAGAAGCUUGCUUCUCUGAUGUUAGCGGCGGACGGGUGAGUAACACGUGGAUAACCUACCUAUAAGACUGGGAUAACUUCGGGAAACCGGAGCUAAUACCGGAUGAUAUUUUGAACCGCAUGGUUCAAAAGUGAAAGACGGUCUUGCUGUCACUUAUAGAUGGAUCCGCGCUGCAUUAGCUAGUUGGUAAGGUAACGGCUUACCAAGGCAACGAUGCAUAGCCGACCUGAGAGGGUGAUCGGCCACACUGGAACUGAGACACGGUCCAGACUCCUACGGGAGGCAGCAGUAGGGAAUCUUCCGCAUUGGGCGAAAGCCUGACGGAGCAACGCCGCGUGAGUGAUGAAGGUCUUCGGAUCGUAAAACUCUGUUAUUAGGGAAGAACAUAUGUGUAAGUAACUGUGCACAUCUUGACGGUACCUAAUCAGAAAGCCACGGCUAACUACGUG